UACGUAGGGGGCAAGCGUUGUCCGGAAUCAUUGGGCGUAAAGCGCGUGUAGGCGGCCCGAUAAGUCCGCUGUGAAAGUCCAGGGCUCAACCCUGGGAUGCCGGUGGAUACUGUCGGGCUCGAGUCCGGAAGAGGCGAGUGGAAUUCCUGGUGUAGCGGUGAAAUGCGUAGAUAUCUGGAGGAAUACCGGUGGCGAAGGCGGCAUCCUGGACCAUUACUGACGCUGAGGCGCGAAAGCUAGGGGAGCAAACGGG
rnacentral:rRNA from 1 species